UCGUAAAUAAAAGAUAACAUAAAGGCAUUUGAAAAAUAAAACGGCCCAAACCCAUAUUCUCAAGUCCAUAGUCACAAGUCCAUCCAUAUAAACCUAACUUUCCUUUCUCUCCUCGUAUCAAACGGUCAGACCCCAACCCUAGAUGCGCUUCUGUAGCAGCGUUUUGGACAGAUCACUGCGGUGCCGACAACUUGCUCUUCAACGUGCGUUUUGGGGCCGUGCCGACAACUUGCUCUUCAACAUCGGCAAGGAUGACAACGACACACAUGGUUACCUCUCCCUUUCACUCUCACUCUUCCUCUCCAUCUCUAUCUCUAUCUUUGUCAUAUUUUUGGCAAUAUCGCUCCUCCAUUUAUCCGUGGAGGAUAGUUGCGAUUUAUACUCUCUUGUGUAUGUGUGUAUAUAUAACUACACCUACCAGUCAAAACUCAAAAGUAACCUCUCUUUAAAUAGGAGUUCCUCGUACUCGCAUGUUAAUUUCUUAGAGAGAGAAACUUUUGAGAGAGAAUGAGGCUAACCCGAGUUCACAUCUUCCAUUGUGGUGUUGUCUUUCUUUCAAAAGUAAUACAAAUUUUUCUGAUCACAAAAAGGGAGAAAUUGAUGGGAAUGAGUGGAGUAGGGGAAAAAAUGGAGGUAUGCCUCUUCAAAUGCAUUUUAAUUUUGUGUUAGUUUCACAUCUUAAUAAUUGUUUUUAUCAUGUAUGGAAAGAUAUUCAUAUUCAAUUUCUGAAAAAAGAAAUUUCAUAUUUUAUUGGUUGGUCACUUUAUUUGUUGUUGCUUUUCAUUGAAGAGAUGGAUCAAUACUUGCACAAAUAAGAAGAUAUAUUAUUUUCAUUGAAGAGUGUUUCAAACCUGCGUAGCUGGCUAAACUUAAACUUCUGGACAACCAAUUCAAGCUUCCAAUAUGGAGAAAUGCUCCAACAGACAACGAAAGAGAAGAGAUGGAGAUCAUGAGGAGGUCAACCAGGUUUUACAAGAGGCAAUGCAUUUCUACCUUUAGUAUCAACCACAGGGACGAAAUCUGCCAAGAGAUGGGAUGUGACCGGCGAACAUGAGGAUGGCGGCGAGGAUGAUGGCGAGCAAGAAGGAUGCAAGGCCGGCGGGAUGUGGGUCUGUUCGGCGUGAUGCUGCAAGGAGGGGAACUGGAGUGGACUUCACCGGACUGAACUUGGUUUUUGGGUAAUUCUUAAAAUUUGAAGAUUUUGUGCUUGUGUGUAAUUUUGCCUAAUUGGAUGUGAUUCAUGCCCAUAGGUAUGUGUUUUUUCAUCACUUUUCGUACUGUUUGGAUUAUGUGGGUCUGUUCGGCGUGAUGCUGCAAGGAGGGGAACUGGAGUGGACUUCACCGGACUGAACUUGGUUUUUGGGUAAUUCUUAAAAUUUGAAGAUUUUGUGCGUGUAA